GCGCCGGUGGGUUAGGGGUAUACUUGGACAUUGCCAUUGUCUAGACCUGGGUUCGAGUCCCAGUCGGCGCA
rfam:Microbotryum lychnidis-dioicae p1A1 Lamole unplaced genomic scaffold supercont1.1, whole genome shotgun sequence.